UCAUUUCAUAUUUCCCUCUUCUUCCUUUUUGGCUUGACCCAUUUGUCACUCUCUGUCCACCAUUGCAUUGAACGUCACUCUCUCUCCACCAUUUGAGUUUGCUUUAACUCUCUUUGGUCCAUUGCUUUCACUUUGUGCAGAUUUCACUCCCUGCAGAUUGUGUGUCCGUGUGGGUUUUCUUCUCUCUACACAUUUCCCCCUUUUUGGCGGCAUGUUCCCCGUUGUGGAAGUUUUGGGUUUUUCUAUCGCAUUAUCGUUGGCGUUAUUUCUCCCAAGGUUUCGGCUUUUCGCACACAACGAUUGGUACCACGAUGAAUUCAAUAGUUGAUGCAUUUUGUUGAAAAUGCGUUUGGCGGAGUGAAAUUUUGAUUGAAGUGUUUACUUGAGUUGAAAUACAAAUGGAAGCCUAUAUUAGCAAGUAGAGUUUGAUAAUUUUUUUCUGUGUUGUUUUGGAACAAUGAUUGUCAGUUUGAAAUUUGUAUUUCAAUUGGUAUCAAAACUAACCUCGCGGGGUUAGUUCUUAGCAGUACUUGAGGAAAAGAUCCUAAGGAAUGAAAAAUGAAGGAUACGCCGUCAACCGUCCUCCCCUCUUCAAGGGCGAGAAGUUCGACUAUUGGAAACAAAGAAUGAUUGCAUUCUUUGAAUCAUGUCAUAUCAACAUGUGGGACAUGGUGGAGAACGACAACUAUAUUCCUUUGGAUGAAAACGGAGAGCUAUUCUCGAAAAGCAAAUGGAUAGACAAGCAGAAGUAGCGUUACUUGUUAAAUUGUAAAGCUCGUAAUUAUCUGAUGUGUGCUCUCUCAGAAGAAGAAUACACGAAGGUUCACACUUACGAAGGAGCAAAAGACUCCAUGGACGAGAAUGACAAAAAUGAGCUUUCAUUCAUCACGAGAAAACUCCAAACAUUAUGGAGGAAAAGAAAAGACACAAUGUUCAAGACUAGACGUCUCAAAUUUGAUUCCAAGAAUAUUACAAGAGACAAACGACCAGAAGAUAAAACUAUCUCUUAUGAGUGUAACAAACUUGGACAUUGAUCAAUGUGAACUUUGAUUCUUCAAGACUUGAUUACAUUUUAGUAUCACUUGUGAAACAUCGGUCUUAUUAUUCCUACUCUUGUUAUUGGUAUUUCAA